rnacentral:rRNA from 1 species
AUGAUUAAAGAUAGCUUGCUAUUUUUAUGAAGAGCGGCGAACGGGUGAGUAACGCGUGGGAAAUCUGCCGAGUAGCGGGGGACAACGUUUGGAAACGAACGCUAAUACCGCAUAACAAUGAGAAUCGCAUGAUUCUUAUUUAAAAGAAGCAAUUGCUUCACUACUUGAUGAUCCCGCGUUGUAUUAGCUAGUUGGUAGUGUAAAGGACUACCAAGGCGAUGAUACAUAGCCGACCUGAGAGGGUGAUCGGCCACACUGGGACUGAGACACGGCCCAGACUCCUACGGGAGGCAGCAGUAGGGAAUCUUCGGCAAUGGGGGCAACCCUGACCGAGCAACGCCGCGUGAGUGAAGAAGGUUUUCGGAUCGUAAAACUCUGUUGUUAGAGAAGAACGUUAAGUA